AUACUAUAGUUAAACAUAACUGUGUGACAUUCUGUAUAAUUCUAACGCUUUUGAUGUAUUUUGAAUUAUGAGUGUGUGUUUUGUCAUUAAAGCCUUGUGAUGACACUGUGUGCUUUUGUCCUUAAAGGGUUUCUUCAUAUUGGUGUUUGGACUGCUGCUGGACAAAAAGGUGCGGUCAGAAAUAGCAAUAAAGUCACAGAUAUCCGGAAGUGGCACCACGAGCACCAGUGCUGGAAACUCAUCGAGUGCAUUUGGAUUUCUCCAGCUCUGGAGACGA